GAUGAAGAACGUAGCAAAAUGCGAUAAGUAAUGUGAAUUGCAGAAUUCAGUGAAUCAUCGAAUCUUUGAACGCACAUUGCGCCCGCUGGUAUUCCGGCGGGCAUGCCUGUUCGAGCGUCAUUUCAACCCUCAAGCCCCCGGGUUUGGUGUUGGGGAUCGGCUCUGCCCUUCUGGGCGGUGCCGCCCCCGAAAUACAUUGGCGGUCUUGCUGCAGCCUCCAUUGCGUAGUAGCUAACACCUCGCAACUGGAACGCGGCGCGGCCAUGCCGUAAAACCCCAACUUCUGAAUGUUGACCUCGGAUCAGGUAGGAAUACCCGCUGAACUUAAGCAUAUCAAUAAGCGGAGGA
rnacentral:misc_RNA from 1 species